GACGAACGCUGGCGGCGUGCCUAAUACAUGCAAGUCGAACGCAGUGGGGACGGGUGAGUAACACGUGGGUAACCUCCCAUCAGAGGGGAUAACACUUGGAAACAGGUGCUAAACCGAUACUGAUGGAUGGAACCGCGGUGCAUUAGCUAGUUGGUGAGGUAACGGCUACCCAAGGCCACGAUGCAUAGACGACCUGAGAGUGUGAUCGGCCACACUUGGACUGAGACCCGGCCCAGACUUCUACGGGAGGCAGCAUUAGGGAAUCGUCGGCAAUGGACUAAAGUCUGACCGAGCCACGCCGCGUGAGUGAAGAAGGUUUUCGGAUCGUAAAACUCUGUUGUUAGAGAAGCGUUACCUAACCAGAAAGCCAUGGCUAACUACGUGCCAGCAGCCGCGGUAAUAC
rnacentral:rRNA from 1 species